rnacentral:rRNA from 1 species
UACGGAGGGGGCAAGCGUUAUUCGGAAUCAUUGGGCGUAAAGGGCGCGUAGGCGGCUUGGCAAGUCAAAGGUGAAAUCCCUCGGCCCAACCGAGGAACUGCCUUUGAUACUGCUUGGCUCGAGGCCGGGAGAGGGUAGCGGAAUUCCCAGUGUAGCGGUGAAAUGCGUAGAUAUUGGGAGGAACACCAGUGGCGAAGGCGGCUACCUGGACCGGUUCUGACGCUGAUGCGCGAAAGCGUGGGGAGCAAACGGG